rnacentral:rRNA from 1 species
AGUCGAACGAUGAAGCCCUUCGGGGUGGAUUAGUGGCGAACGGGUGAGUAACACGUGGGCAAUCUGCCCUUCACUCUGGGACAAGCCCUGGAAACGGGGUCUAAUACCGGAUAACACUCCUGCCUGCAUGGGUGGGGGUUAAAAGCUCCGGCGGUGAAGGAUGAGCCCGCGGCCUAUCAGCUUGUUGGUGGGGUAAUGGCCUACCAAGGCGACGACGGGUAGCCGGCCUGAGAGGGCGACCGGCCACACUGGGACUGAGACACGGCCCAGACUCCUACGGGAGGCAGCAGUGGGGAAUAUUGCACAAUGGGCGAAAGCCUGAUGCAGCGACGCCGCGUGAGGGAUGACGGCCUUCGGGUUGUAAACCUCUUUCAGCAGGGAAGAAGCGAAAGUGACGGUACCUGCAGAAGAAGCGCCGGCUAACUACGUGCCAGCAGCCGCGGUAAUACGUAGGGCGCAAGCGUUGUCCGGAAUUAUUGGGCGUAAAGAGCUCGUAGGCGGCUUGUCGCGUCGGAUGUGAAAGCCCGGGGCUUAACCCCGGGUCUGCAUUCGAUACGGGCAGGCUAGAGUGUGGUAGGGGAGAUCGGAAUUCCUGGUGUAGCGGUGAAAUGCGCAGAUAUCAGGAGGAACACCGGUGGCGAAGGCGGAUCUCUGGGCCAUUACUGACGCUGAGGAGCGAAAGCGUGGGGAGCGAACAGGAUUAGAUACCCUGGUAGUCCACGCCGUAAACGUUGGGAACUAGGUGUUGGCGACAUUCCACGUCGUCGGUGCCGCAGCUAACGCAUUAAGUUCCCCGCCUGGGGAGUACGGCCGCAAGGCUAAAACUCAG